GCAAAACGCGAAGAACCUUACCUGGCCUUGACAUGCCACUAACGAAGCAGAGAUGCAUUAGGUGCUCGAAAGAGAAAGUGGACACAGGUGCUGCAUGGCUGUCGUCAGCUCGUGUCGUGAGAUGUUGGGUUAAGUCCCGCAACGAGCGCAACCCUUGCCAAUAAUUGCCAUCAUUCAGUUGGGCACUUUAUUGGGACUGCCGGUGACAAACCGGAGGAAGGUGGGGAUGACGUCAAGUCCUCAUGGCCCUUAUGGCCAGGGCUUCACACGUAAUACAAUGGUCGGUACAGAGGGUAGCCAACCCGCGAGGGGGAGCCAAUCUCAGAAAGCCGAUCGUAGUCCGGAUUGUAGUCUGCAACUCGACUAC
rnacentral:rRNA from 1 species